AAAAAAAAGUUCAAAUUUGCUUUAGAAAUUGCAAAAAUAUAGCAUAUAUGCAUUUGUACGAUGAACGGAGCAUCUCGUUUUCUUUGUUGAGAGCUCCAUCGGCGGCAGAUGUAUGUGAAGAUCCUUAUUUGCGGAUUGUAUAUAUUGGCGGGGUUUAAUAUCGUCUAUCUUGCAUUAAGCUAGCCAACUGAGCCUUCCAAUCCCGUAGUUGACAAAACUUUUGAAUGGUAAAUCAUGAGGAAUCGCAUAUAUUGUAGAGCAGGUGAUCAUGAAUGAAUCACCUUCCACUUACCCGUAAUGUAGAACGUAAUAAUGGCUCUGAACCCGGUUUACUUACAUGUGAUCAGUGAGGUGUUCGAUUUAUUUAAUUAUUUAUUUUUCCAUUGGGUUGAUAAGCAUACUGCUAAGUUAUUUUCUAUAUUGUAACUACUUUUGUUUUCGUCAGUUUGGUGGAGUUUCUAGCUAUGUAUGAAUUUCGACUGUUUGUUAAAUGAAAACUAAGAUUUAUGUUUUAGUUGCGGAACCUUAUAUCAUAAUAUUGGAUAAAUUUCUUAGAUAGUCAUUAGUACUAGAAAUUCCUUAACAGGUGUGAUGGCGAAUCAAAUUCCUCAAGGUUCCUCAUAGAAUAACUCAUGCAACCUUGAAAUGCCCAAGUGCUCGUCAGCACCAGGAAUAGACAUAUCUUUUUGUUUAUGAUAUAUGAAACUCUACUAGAUGAUUCAAUGUCAAACGCGUGCUACUGAUGGUGUUAUAGUCUUACUUUUGAGUGAUCAAAAACUAUUUUGAGACAGUUGAGUUCUGUUGUAGGCUUGUUUUAAUUGUAGUCUCGUACCUAUUUUAAUUUGAACAACCAUGGAAUGUCAUACCCAAUUUAUUUUAUACAACCGUUUUUGGAUGGUACCCAGUUUAUUUUGUACGAGCAUCUGAAAAAUAAGUGUACCACACUAAAAUUGCAGUAUGAAUGUCUGUAUAUACAAUCCGCAUAAGAGCAUCAACCCCUACA